rnacentral:lncRNA from 1 species
CUCGAAGCUCCAAAUAGAUCGUCCUUCCUGGGAGUGCUAGCUCACAUAGAAGGCUCUGAAUGGCUGAUGAAGACUCCUUCCUUUGGAUCAUCUAGACACCUCCAUAUCAGAAGACAGAGCUUAUCAAGGAGGCAGUGUGGAAGAAAGAAGACAAGACUCUGUUAUGAUUUUCUCACACAAAAAUUUAGAGAUGAAAAACCCUAGAACCCACCUUAGACCUCAUGCCCA